rnacentral:rRNA from 1 species
AUACGGAGGGUGCAAGCGUUACUCGGAAUCACUGGGCGUAAAGGACGCGUAGGCGGGAUGCCAAGUCUGAUGUGAAAUCCUAUGGCUCAACCAUAGAACUGCAUUGGAAACUGGUAACCUAGAGUAUGGGAGGGGGAGAUGGAAUUAGUGGUGUAGGGGUAAAAUCCGUAGAUAUCACUAGGAAUACCGAAAGCGAAGGCGAUCUCCUGGAACAUUUCUGACGCUAAGGCGUGAAAGCGUGGGGAGCAAACAGGAUUAGAAACCCUAGUAGUCC